UGGACUGGGAGUAAAAAGACAACUUAGGUUC
rnacentral:piRNA from 1 species